UCAGUUUUGAAAUGUCACGAU
ensembl:piRNA 21ur-2166 ncRNA